rnacentral:piRNA from 1 species
UAAUACUUUACUACAUAAGGUUACUCCGC